ACAGGUGUGGCUGCAGACUGCAGGAGCAGAUGAGCUCAUAAGAAACAAAGAUUUGCUCUGCUGGAUGAUCUGUCUUCACUCAAGAACAAAGAGCAGCAGCAUAGAUGAGUUACCGUGUAAACAAAUCGAGCAAUCACUAACAUGUACAUCAGAGUGUGCUUUGUCAGCCAGUAUACACACCUCUCUCCAGCACGUCUGUCCUUUACCCUCGUGGAGAUUUAUAUGAAAGCAAUUUAUAGGGCUGGCAGCCAAGUCUCCACUGGCAAGGUGGCUCAGAAAAGAACUGCAAUUAUGCAAAUGAUCAAGAGAAAAAUAAGAAGAGCUACAAGAUCUAGUUUGCCUAAUUGAGAGACAGCAAAAUUUUGUGCUCAAAAUCAAGAUCCUAAGAUUAUGGUAGUCAGCUGAAGAUCUAUUCUUCCUUCACUUCAAAUAAGGGACAAUCAUAAGAAUGUUCCACUCUUCUCACAGCCCCAAAGAAAACUUUCAUGAACAAUGGUCUGUUAUUUUCUAGUGCUCUCUGACUUUAGACAAGGACACUUCUAUUUUAAUUCUGUAAUUUUAAAAUGUUUUAAUUUAGCAUCUACUAUGUACCAACAGAGAAAAAUGUCCCCAGAUUUCCAAAACUUGUCAUCUCAGUACUGGAAAAGAUAGGGUUUUUCUUUUUUUAAUAUUACAAGUCAUAUAUAAAAUUUAAGCUUAAGUGUUAUAAAUUUUGGACUUAAUUCUUUUGUUGUCUUGGACAUAUUUUACAG
ensembl:lncRNA